rnacentral:misc_RNA from 1 species
GAAAAAGGACAAAUUUUAACUGGGAAGCUAACCUCACCCACGCUGCACAGUGACACGAUUUGGACAAGGGAGAGGCGUAUGCAGCCAUUUAGGGUGGCUACCCUCUUUCAAUUCAAUUACAAACGGCCACAGUAAUAGCUGCAAAUAGGUGAACGAUGGCAAUGGAGACGGCUACGAUGAGGGAAAACAGCAAUGGUGAAGAAAGCGACAGCAAUGGCUUAAAGUGGCGAAAGAAAGCGACAGCAAAGGUGAACGACAAUGGCAGUGAACCAGUGGUGGCUUUGACGUGG